GACGAACGCUGGCGGCGUGCUUAACACAUGCAAGUCGAACGAAGUGGCGAACGGGUGAGUAACGCGUAAUCAACCUGCCCUUCAGAGGGGGACAACAGUUGGAAACGACUGCAAAUACCGCAUACGGAAGGAGGGGAUUGCGUCUGUUUGGCUAGUUGGAGGGGUAACGGCCCACCAAGGCGAUGAUCAGAAGCCGGUCUGGAAGGGGGAACGGCCAACAUGGGGACUAGGCCAGGGCCCGAGUCCUACGGGAGGCAGCAGUGGGGGAUUUUCCGCAAUGGACGAAAGUCUGACGGAGCAACGCCGCGUGAGUGAUGACGGCUUUCGGGUUGUAAAGAUCUGUUAAUUGGGACGCGGUACCGAAAUAGAAAGCCACGGCUAACUACGUGCCAGCAGCCGCGGUAAUAC
rnacentral:rRNA from 1 species